UUCUCACUGGGUGCAACAUUCUUAGAGGCCCCAGUGAGAUAGCCAGCUGCUCUGGAACUUAUUAUCUUGGAUCCAUUGUUUCUUUUUAGAAAAGACCAGGAUUGGACAUCCGCAGUGUUCGGCCCCUCUGAACACCGGUCUGUGGAAGGAGAGGGCACCCUGAUGGUAUUCUGGGGCUCGGCCACCCUGACGGUAUUUAGGCCAGUCCCAGCCGGGCCCUAUCACCGAUCAACCGACCCGCAGGAGUUUGUUGGGAAAGCCUCUAGAGACAAGGAAGAUGAAUAUGGCAUGAACCUGGGAUGAUUGCCAGCAGCUUUUACAGAUCCUGUUCACCACUGAGGAACGGACCGCAUUUAACAACAAGCAGUCAAAGAGGCCCUGGGGCCAAACCCCAGCAUCACUCCUGGAACUCCAGGGCAUUUGGCCAGGGCUGAAACAGUAGUUCCGUCGUGACACCCCAAAUGGGACCCCAGUGAUGAUGAUGUCUCUUCAAGCCUUACAGAUUCUUCAGAGUGAGAUCCAGGCUACAAGACAACAGGCUCGAGAAAAAGCCUCUGCGACAUUCCAGCCCCAUGGUUUCAAGUCAGGAGACCUGGUCCUGAUAUGCUUGGUCUGCUUGCACCGAGGACUUGACUAUUUAAAUACAUUCCCAAAUCAAUCUUGGCUACCCAAUCUGCCACUUUAUUUUGUGUCAUGGUGUAUGUUUUCCACAAGUCUUGUAUUAUAAUAAAAAAGGAGGCCGCGAACAUCUGGGAUUAACCACUGAACACUAUAGGAGUAAAUGGGCUGCCCCCGUUUUAGUGCCCAUUCUGGUGGGAUUAGGAAUAGCCAGGUCAGCGGCUAUUGGAACUUCCUCCCUGAUCCUUCAGGACAAAUUUUAAAGCCCUAAGCCACCAGGUAGCCAGAGAUUUGGGUUGCCUGAAAGACUUGAUCUCUAGAUUAAAAAACCAGGUUGAUUCCCUAGCUGAGAUGGUCCUACAAAUCAAAGGGGACUUGACCUCCUGUUCAUGAAACAAAAAGGGUUAUGUGUAGCCCUAAAAAAACCCAAAAACCUGUUGCUUCUAUGCUAAUGGUUAACUACCCUAGUUUCUGCUAUAGCAGGCCCCCUAGUUAUCUUACUUCUGCUUUUGCUCGUGAGACCUUACAUUACAAAUGCUCUGACUAAAUACAUUAGACAGAGGGUUGAUACAGUUAAACUGGUGGUGUUGAGACAAAAUUAUGAAAUUUUAAAAGACGUUUUAAAAAAAAUUCAAAGAGUAAAUAUAGGAAUCAAAG